UUUCUUUGUUACCAUACAGAUUGUCAGGGACAGGAAGCAUCAACUGGUCCGACAAUAGUUAUGACAACAUUGCCGGAAAAAAAAAUCGGCUACAGACCUGACAACAGCAAAGGGGGAAAAGCUGGUAACAGACCCGGCAGUAAACCUGGCAACAGAUCCGGCAUCCAACCUGGCAACAGAUCCAGCAGCUGCAAAUCCAACUCCUGUACAAGAAAUUGGCAUGGGACAAUCAGAUCCCGUUCACACUACUGACAUGGCACAUGGAUUAGUUCCCAGCGCUGCUAAGACCAGUCUGCCUACAUCUGUACCAGAAGAAUCAAAAAAAUCUGCUGACCUCUACUGAAAAGGUGUUACAAGAAAUACAGAAAAAUGUAAAUCUAGGUAAAGAGAAUGAGAAGAGAGUGAUGCCUCUG